CGUCUCGAAGAAAAAACUGUCUCCCUCUGUCUAUAAACAUCCAGCAUGGUGCAGUGAGAUAUUUCCUCAGGAGCAUUGCUCUAAAUACUUUAGGUAUUGCUGCCUCUGUCAUCUGUCCUGAACCAAGUUUGGUCUGGACAUGAAAUGUGGCAGCAUCAUGUCUCAGUUCGGACCCUGGAAAAACAAGUUUGUGGGAAGAAUCUGGCCUUUCUUUUAAAAACAAGAUGUAGCCCCACCAUGAAGCAAAGAGACAAAGAAGGACAUAAGGAAAGAAUGAUGGCACCUACAAGGAUGUAAGGAACCGACCCUAAACCCGACACCAGAGGACGAGACAGUGACAGAGGCAGACAUAUACUGUAGGCCAAACACACAGGCAGGAAUAGCAGAAUAGCCCUGAUAGAGAAGACGGAGCAAUGAAGUAUACAAGAAGAAUGGAAUAAAAAUUUUGAUCAAUCCGUCGGCCCGAGUGUCGUGUUACAUUGUUAACAGCUGAAACAGAAGAUCUUGUAGUCGUGCAUUCAACUGAAGAAAAUUAACCAGCACAAUCUAUGAAUCGUUGUAUCUUAA